rnacentral:rRNA from 1 species
UACGUAGGGGGCGAGCGUUGUCCGGAAUUAUUGGGCGCAAAGAGCGUGUAGGCGGUCCGGUAAGUCCGCUGUGAAAGUCCAGGGCUCAACCCUGGAAUGCCGGUGGAUACUGCCGGGCUAGAGUCCGGAAGAGGCGAGUGGAAUUCCUGGUGUAGCGGUGAAAUGCGCAGAUAUCAGGAGGAACACCGAUGGCGAAGGCAGCUCGCUGGGACGGUACUGACGCUGAGACGCGAAAGCGUGGGGAGCAAACAGG